CCCUUAGAUGUUCUGGGCCGCACGCGCGUUACAAUGAAUCGUUCAACAGGUUUUCUUCCUGAGUCGAAAGGCUUGGGUAAUCCUUUAAAUACGGUUCGUGCUAGGGAUAGAUUUUUGCAAUUAUUAAUCUUGAACGAGGAAUAUUUAGUAAACGCAGGUCAUCAGCCUGCAUUGAUUACGUCCCUGCCCUUUGUACGCACCGCCCGUCGCACCAACCGAUUGGAUGUUUUGUUGAAAUAUGUGGAUGUUUUUUGAGUGGAUUAAUUUUCGCUCGAUAGACAGAAACGUAUUAAAACUGAAUAUAUAGAGGAUGGUGAAGUCGUAACA
rnacentral:rRNA from 1 species